rnacentral:rRNA from 1 species
CAGCAGCCGCGGGAAUACGAAGGGUGCAAGCGUUAAUCGGAAUUACUGGGCGUAAAGCGUGCGUAGGCGGUGAGUUAAGUCUGCUGUGAAAUCCCCGGGCUCAACCUGGGAAUGGCAGUGGACACUGGCUCGCUAGAGUGUGUCAGAGGAUGGUGGAAUUCCCGGUGUAGCGGUGAAAUGCGUAGAGAUCGGGAGGAACAUCAGUGGCGAAGGCGGCCAUCUGGGACAACACUGACGCUGAGGCACGAAAGCGUGGGGAGCAAACAGGAUUAGAUACCCCCGUAGUCCCUGUCUCUUAUAC